AAGGGGAGAGUGGAAUUCCAUGUGUAGCGGUGAAAUGCGUAGAUAUAUGGAGGAACACCGGUGGCGAAAGCGGCUCUCUGGUCUGUAACUGACGCUGAGGCUCGAAAGCGUGGGGAGCAAACAGGAUUAGAUACCCUGGUAGUCCACGCCGUAAACGAUGAGUGCUAGGUGUUGGGUCCUUUCCGGGACUCAGUGCCGCAGCUAACGCAUUAAGCACUCCGCCUGGGGAGUACGACCGCAAGGUUGAAACUCAAAGGAAUUGACGGGGGCCCGCACAAGCGGUGGAGCAUGUGGUUUAAUUCGAAACAACGCGAAGAACCUUACCAGGUCUUGACAUCCCGGUGCCCGUCCUAGAGAUAGGAUUUUGCUUCGGCACACCGGUGACAGGUGGUGCAUGGUUGUCGUCAGCUCGUGUCGUGAGAUGUUGGGUUAAGUCCCGCAACGAGCGCAACCCUUAUUGUUAGUUGCCAUCAUUCAGUUGGGCACUCUAACGAGACUGCCGGUAAUAAACCGGAGGAAGGUGGGGAUGACGUCAAAUCAUCAUGCCCCUUAUGACCUGGGCUACACACGUGCUACAAUGGCUGGUACAACGAGUCGCAAGUCGGUGACGGCAAGCUAAUCUCUUAAAGCCAGUCUCAGUUCGGAUUGUAGGCUGCAACUCGCCUACAUGAAGUCGGAAUCGCUAGUAAUCGCGGAUCAGCACGCCGCGGUGAAUACGUUCCCGGGCCUUGUACACACCGCCCGUCACACCACGAGAGUUUGUAACACCCGAAGUCGGUGAGGUAACCUUUUAGGAGCCAGCCGCCUAAGGUGGGAUAGAUGAUUGGGGUGAAGUCGUAACAAGGUAGCCG
rnacentral:rRNA from 1 species